UUGAGGAAACGACAGCAGCAGUAUAUCACAGCAACUAUGUAGUAUUUUAUAAAUAUAAAUAUCAUUUCAAAAGCAAUUCACGAGUGUUAACUGCUCAAUCGAUCACGUAUUUAUAUUUCACUCAGCGUGUGGAUUGUGUAGAAUGGAGGUAAGCUUAGAGAAGGAAAACAGUUUUGAAGCGUACAAAGCCAGCAAUUUUGAUGGGACUGGAUUAAUCGAUAUCAUUGAUCCCGAUACUAAACGGCCAGAAGGGCGUCAGAUAACGAGCGUGGAGAUUUACACAUAAAUCAUGUGAAACAAAAAGAAAAUAUCGAAUGGAGUAAAAUAUAUACACAGCGCACAAAUGUGAGUAUGCGGUUCUGCUGAUAGAUGAAAACAUCAAGCAACAGCCAUUUAACACCACAGAUGCUGGACAUACUUCAUACGGAUGCCAGGCCUUACAAUAGAUUUCCGAUGACAUAAUAUGAAAACCUCGAAUAUUCUAAAAAUGGCUUACAUGAAGAACUGAAACUGUAGAACUUGCAAAAAAAAAUAAAAUAAUAAUAAUAAGACAGUGAUGGUCUGUGUUUCCUUCAAAAAGGCCCACUUCAAAAAGAUCACUUCUUUUUCUUACAGCAAACUAAAUCCUGUUUGUGAACUUAUCUAACUUUUAAAGGCUUUAUUUUCUAACUAGGACUUCAAAAUACUUCAGUCCUGAAGAAUAAUUAAUAUUAUAUAUUAUUUACAGGACUAACGCGGCAAACUGGCAGUGUCGUUAGCACGCUGGACAAAAUACUUAGCCGCAUUUCGCCCGUCUUUACAUUCUGAGUUCAAAUUCCACUGUGGUCGACUUUACCUUUCAUUCUUUUGGGGUCGAUAAAAUAAGUCAAUGUGAUCGACUUAUUCCCUUCCCUGAGAUUGCUGGCCUUGUGCCAAAAUUUGAAAUCUAUUAUUUAUAGACUUAAAACCAAAAUAUUACUCAUAUUCACGUAUCUAACUAUACACAAUAUACCGACUGUAUCCAGGAAACCACUCGUUCCAACUAACACUCAUUAAACGCUCUCCUAAUCUGAA